GUCUAUGUAGUAUAUCAAUUACACUGGUCUUGUAAACCAGAAAAGGGGAACAAAUUUCCCCCAAAGACU
rnacentral:tRNA from 1 species